UUUUUCUCAGGUCCGAGGCAGAGCUCGCAAACUCCCUCUCCCAGCGCUUCCCUCGCGGUUUCGCCCGUUCGGUAGAAAUUUUCCAACAAGCUCUUAGCCCUAGGCUGAAAACCGAAAAAGAAGUUUUGUGCAGAGAAGAAAGGAGUCGGGGCAAGGCAGGCGGAGCCCGCUCCCAGCCCAACACAUCACCGAUCCCCACGCCCCGCCCGUGCCCCCUACCCCGUGCGCGCCUCCUGCCCCGAGCUCCUCGCCCUGGGGACAGCUGGCAGCCCGCGCAGGACCAGACACAAAGCCGAUCAAUCCCGGCGGCGCGGGGGCGGGAGCGACCCGCCAGGGCUUUCCUUUCCGCUGCUAGCUUUCUGCGGCCCACCCCCAGCUAGGACCCAGCGGACACCUUGUCCCUCUUCCACGCCCCCAGCCCCCUCCCCUCUUAAAAAAAGAACGGCCCUGAGCCCCCAUCCCAGGACUGGAAGACUGAAGACUGGCCUCUUGGCAGCCCGCAGAGAAGGCGCCCCUGGAAGAGAAACUGACAUCCCUUCAAGACCGCCCCUCCCCUCCGCUUCCUCGGCUCCACGACUCCCUCCGCCUCUACCGCCCCAGAAGUUCAGGGGCCCCCGCCCCGCCUCCUGCGCUCCGGCCGCGGGGACCCUGGAUCUCGGCGCCCAGCAGCCAGCUCCGGCCCCGGGAAGAUGGCGAGGAGGAGCAGCCACCGCCUCCUCCUGCUGUUGCUGCGCUACCUGGUGGUCGCCCUGGGCUAUCAUAAGGCCUAUGGAUUAUCUGCCCCAAAAGACCAUCAAGUUGUCACAGCCAUAGAGUACCAAGAGGUUAUUUUAGCCUGCAAAAACCCAAAGAAGACCAUUUCCUCCAGAUUAGAGUGGAAGAAACUGGGGCGGAGUGUCUCCUUCGUCUACUAUCAACAGGCUCUCCAAGGUGAUUUUAAAGAUCGAGCUGAGAUGAUAGAUUUCAGUAUACGGAUCAAAAAUGUUACAAGAAGUGAUGCUGGGAAAUAUCGUUGUGAAGUUAGUGCCCCGUCUGAGCAAGGCCAAAACCUGGAAGAGGAUACAGUUACUCUAGAAGUACUAGUGGCUCCAGCAGUUCCAUCCUGUGAAGUACCCUCUUCUGCUCUGAGUGGAACUGUGGUAGAGCUACGAUGUCAAGAUAAGGAAGGGAUUCCCGCUCCUGAAUAUACAUGGUUUAAGGAUGGUAACCGUUUACUGGAGAAUCCAAAACUUGGCUCCCAAAGCACCAACAGCUCAUAUACAAUGAAUACAAAAUCUGGAACUCUGCAAUUUAACACUAUUUCCAAGCUCGACAGUGGAGAAUACUUCUGUGAAGCCCAAAAUUCUGUUGGACAUAGCAGGUGUCCUGGGAAACGCAUGCAAGUAGAUGAUCUCAACAUAAGUGGCAUCAUAGCAGCUGUAGUAGUUGUGACCUUAGUGAUUUCUGUGUGUGGCCUUGGUGUGUGCUAUGCUCAGAGAAAAGGAUACUUUUCAACUGCCAUGGUUUCAGAUACACUGUCAUCUACAUCUUUUGAAGACUUAGCUACCAUUGAUUUCCUGUUCCCAGAUGCCUGGCCCCAUCCCUCAUAAUAUCCCAGUACAAAUCCAGGGUGAAAUCCAAGUUAUCAUGACUAGGAGUAGCAAAGGAGGAAGGGUAGUUCUUCAUCUAAAGCCCCUACAAUGAGUGAAAAUGAUUUCAAGCACACAAAAUCCUUCAUAAUUUAAAAGAAUUCAACUUUUGAGAUACACCAAAACCACAGUUGUUACACAGUUAUUAAAGUAUUAUAAAACUCUGCUUUGUCUUAAUUUGCAAAGGGGUACAUGACAAAAUGAAAUUGAUAUUUCAUUAUGUUUUUUUAUGACUUGACUCACCUGAAAUUGUUAUUUUAAGCAAACGGUUUUGUCACCUGAAAUAUGAUCUGGCUUCUUCUGUCUGGACUAAAGAACAGGAGUCAAAUUACCUUGAAAUAUUCUGUGAUUUGUAAAAUGUUAACUAAUGUCCUAACUUCUAGAGAAAGUUACUACAUCAUAAUGAUUGUGAAGUUAAUCCACAGACCAUGCAAAUAUAAACCUGUGUGCAAAAGUGUUAUUUAGGGGGUUCAGAAAAUACUCUGACAGAUGCAAAAGGAAUCUCUGGUCUCAUUUCCACCAGAAUCUUCUUUAUAACAUAAUCCUUAUUCAAUUGCUCAUUUAUCACUAAUGUAUCCACGAAACGGAGGCAGUGAGGUUGGGUCUUAUACUCAAGGAUUUGCACUUUGUAUUUACUAUCAUUUCUGAGAACCAAAAGUAACAUAAAGAGAAACAGUUAAUGACCAGAGCUCACAGGUGUGCACGGACUCACCUGGUGUAUGUUACUUAUAAUCUUGAGAGGUAAAUACAAAUCCAAGAGGCUUAUUUCACCCCCGCUGCUGCUCGCUGUUCUUUCUUUUCUCUAAGACUCCUUUGAAGAGACUCCAUGACUUUGACAUCAGGGCUCAACAAUGGAGCUUUCACAGCUUUGCAGAUACCUUUUGCUGCAUGAGUAGUAGCUUCAAAUCUCUAUCCCUAAAAAUCAUGCAGUGAAAUUCUGAGCAGGGCGAAUCCUUUGCUGUUAAAGCCAGAGGGCUGUCAAUCCUUAUGGCAAAGCAGUGGCAAGGAAAGACGUGGUUGUCUGGUAAAUAAAAUACGAGUAAACUAACUUACUGCCACUCCCUGCCUCUGGCACCCUGCUUGAGCCAUAGAAGGCACUUGAGAAAUGAUGAUUGAAAUAAAAAAUGGGUCUAACCAUCUGUUUUCUGAAUUGAUUAACCACAAAAACCUCCAGCUAGUAUUAGAAUAUGAAAACUCCAACAGUUCACUCAAUAGGAAGAGUAUUAAACUGUGUUUAAAAAGUGUAGCUUUUAGAACUGCUUUUGAUUAUUUAAUUGGUAUUAAAAACAAAAUAUGGCUAGAGUAUGUCCUGUUAUCCCAGGAAAAUCUAGAUGAAAAGUUGAUUCAUGACCUUUGACAGCUUUGGCCACCAUUAAGUCGUUUUCAGAGGAAUCCACUCUUUCCACCCAGUAGCAAAGCAGAGUCCCAGUUUUCACUGAACAAAUGAUUAAGCACUCACUGAAUGUCUGAUGUGGACCUGGACACCAGGUCACUGGGAAGAUGCCUUUAUCAGCCUGCUUCCUUUGACUUGUCUGUGGCAUUUGACGCUUUUCACUAGAGUCCUUUCUGGUUUCUAUAACAUGUUCUGCCCCAAAGGUCAACUUAGCACUGUUAGUCACUAGUAAACUUUCUAUAAAGGGCAAGAUAGUAGAUAUUUUAAACCAUAUGGUUCCUGCUACAACUACUAGACUCUGCCACUGUCACCCAAAAGCAGCCAAAAAAAGGAGCAUGUCUGUAUCCCAGUAGAAAUGCAGCAAGCACAGACAGGAUUUGGCCUACAAGCAUAGUUUCCCAACUCCUGGUGGCAAAUGAUAGAAAACACCUAUCUAUAAACUGAUUCUUACAAAUCUGGCUAAAUGCUGCCCAUGCUUUAACAAGAAGUUUUGCUUUGAUUUGAGGAACGCUUUCCUUUUGCACUGCUGGGAGUCAAGGGGAUAGAUGACUCAAAGAUGCCGCAUCAGGCACACAUACCAUCACAUAAGAUCAGCUGCUUUAAUUUAAACAACACCAAUCCAUAUUUUGAGAGGAAACUUGAGUGCCUUAACUUUGCUAAUAGAGGAAAAGCUUCUUUUUAAGAUAUCAAAGGCCAGACAAUUCACUUUAUGCAGUGUAAACAUCUGUCUUUGUGCCAAAUAUAUCUUGUACAGUAUAUUAUUGUAUAUAUAGCCAAGUCAAAAUCAUCAUGUAAAGAAUGGUUUCUUCUACACAUAGGAUAUAGUGUGAGAACUAAUUUUCUAAUUAUUAAAAGACGUCUGUGGGUCACUGGUGUCUGGGCUGUUUUCGUGUGUGUGUGUGUGUGUGUGUGUGUGUGUGUGUGUGUGUUACUGUGACUUGUUAUUGUUUUAUGAACUUGAACAUGAACCACUGGUAAAACUCCACUGUAAUUCUUAGAACAUUUUAUUUUCCUGCAGUGAGAUUGUGUUGCAUAAAGAUUAGGGUUCUAGAAUCAUUAAUAACAAUUUGUGUUUUGUUUUAAAACUGUUGCUGUUGUAAGUAGAUUCACUUUAUUUUUAGUUGGGGGUUGAACCUAACUAAAUCUAGAAAGAUGGGCUGUUUUCCAUACAGCUUUGCAAAGAACUUCCUUCACAGCCCACAGCUGGCUUUGUUUGAUUAAAAUCUUU